rnacentral:rRNA from 1 species
AUUGAACGCUGGCGGCAGGCCUAACACAUGCAAGUCGAACGAGACCUUCGGGUCUAGUGGCGCACGGGUGCGUAACGCGUGGGAAUCUGCCCUUAGGUACGGAAUAACUCAGAGAAAUUUGUGCUAAUACCGUAUGAUGUCGAAAGACCAAAGAUUUAUCGCCUAAGGAUGAGCCCGCGUAAGAUUAGCUUGUUGGUGAGGUAAAAGCUCACCAAGGCGACGAUCUUUAGCUGGUCUGAGAGGAUGAUCAGCCACACUGGGACUGAGACACGGCCCAGACUCCUACGGGAGGCAGCAGUGGGGAAUAUUGGAUAAUGGGCGAAAGCCUGAUCCAGCAAUGCCGCGUGAGUGAUGAAGGCCUUAGGGUUGUAAAGCUCUUUUACCCGGGAUGAUAAUGACAGUACCGGGAGAAUAAGCUCCGGCUAACUCCGUGCCAGCAGCCGCGGUAAA